AACUACUAAGUCUUUAACAUUUGUUUUGAAAGCAAAUUUCGAGCUCUUAAGCUCAGUAGUUA
rnacentral:tRNA from 1 species